GGGGAUAUAGCUCAGUUGGUAGAGUGCUUGCCUCACAUGUACAAGGCCCUGGGUUCAAUCCCCAGCACCA
rnacentral:tRNA from 1 species